CUUUUUCCUUCUUUUGGCUUCUUAGUGGUUUGAAUACAAGGCGUGGUGAAGAGAUAUAAAUUACACAAGAAACUACAAGCUAUGUCAUAUGUCUACCUCUCUAGCUGACAAGGGAAGCAGGGGAAAUUUCUCUUCCAAUUGUCUGCUCUGAAGGUCAUCCAAACAUAAUUAUCAGGUGGGGUGGGUGAACUCUUUUAUUCUUUUAAUCAUCCAACAAAUAUUUCUCAAGCGCAUACCUUGUUAAGAGACUGUUUUGGGUACAGUAAUUCACAGUGAAUAAAACACAGAUAUUCUCACCUUUGUGAUACUACGUCAUAGUUGCAAGGAGUGGGGAGAAACAGACAGGAAGCAAAGAAGAAAAAUAAACAAGAAGUCAUGUGAUAAUAUCUACUGGGAGGGACUCAUUAGGCAGUAAAGGACUCGGCAGUGUGGAGGUGACACAUUCAGUUUUCAGUAGAAGAAUCAGGGAAGUUGUCACUUUGAAGCUAUCAUUUAGCUUCCCUUUCUUUCAAUCUUCUUUCUUUACAUGGGAAAUAAGGAUUGUGGGAUAUUUUUGGGUGGAUCACAGCACCUAGAGAUGGACCUGAUCAAUAAGAACUGCUCAGUAAGCAUUAGCUACUGCUUCGGUUGCCUUCCCCCUGUGGAGUGCUGGCCUCUUGGAUUGAGCUUGCAUCAUAGGUGUUCAGUAGGAGCUUGCUUAGUGGAUUUAUAGGUUGAGGUUAGAACCCACUGGAAUUCUCUUCCUGGAAAGAACAGGCUUCUCUUUAAGGUUUCAUACAGACCCUGGUUGAGGAAAGAGCCCUAAAUUGCUUGAAAAAUUGAAUGCUCUAUGGGCAAAGCAGGAAGCCCUCCUAUGGAAGGGCAUCAUUUGGGCAUAUAUCAGGGUCUCAGUAAAAACAUGAGUGCUCAGGAAGUCAAGAUGGUUAAGCAGAGAAUCUGACCAGAAUGUUCAUGGUGCGAAGAAAUAAUCUUGUUGGGUGUAGGAUUACAACAACUGGGAAAUUAGAAUACAGGCUAAAUGAGAUUCAAAAAUAAUACAACAAGAAUCAGGCACAAAUCCUUUACUACUACAUUCUUUUGUACAAAUCCAUUUUGCCUAGAAAAUCGUACCUUACUAUACAUCCCUAUUGUGUUUCUCCACCAUCUAUUUUACUUUUUAAACUUUAUUUCAUUUUUGUCAUCACAGAAGCUUGUUGCUACAAAAUAAAUGAGCAAAUCAGCCAAUGGCAACAAAGCUGCACUGAUCUCUCUCCUUAGACCUUCAGAACAUUUUCCUUAAAGGUGAACAAUACUCCACGUUCAAGGACUUUUUCAGCACUAUGUGCUAGAAACUAUGCUGACUGUUUAUUAAUUUUUAUGUAAGUUGGUCGAUAUAGUUUCUCAGCUUCCCCAAGUAUUAUUACCACAGUACUAUAGAUGACACUGAAGCUCAGAGCAGUUAAACCAUUUUCCUCAGAUCACAUAACUUUAAAGAGGGAAACCAGAUAUGGGAAGCAGAUUUCUUUCUAAAUGAAAAAAUCAUGAGCUCUUGCUUUCACUUAGCACAUAGUCUCAUCAUCUGUUUUCUUCACACCAGCUCACUCAUGUAACAUUCAUUCAUUUACCAAAUACAGAUAAAUGAGUGGAUUUAUUCUUGCUUUCAUCAGAUACUAAUUCAAAAUCGCUUCUGUGUCUGCUACACUGUGCUCAAGACUUGCCAGUGCCUUUGUCUCCUCUCCCUCAAAUCUCUCCACCCAAUGUCUUGACAAAUACUGUAGAUUCUUCCUGCAUAACCUCUCCAGAAUCUUUUCCUUCUGUUAUCCAUGCUACAGUGUUUAUGGAGGAUGUUUUCUUCACCUAUGAAGUGUGAUGGGGGCUGAAGCUGCAGCAAGACUCAUGCUGUUCACCUCAGGAGCUGACACAGUAAAUGUGGAUAAACCUCAAUCCUUUAAUAUCUUUAUGACUUCUUUCCCAGUUACCCCAGCGAAUUUACAGAUUGAGGUUAAAACCACAACAGGAUUAUCUUCCUGGAAAGAAUAGGCUUCCCUUUAAGGUUUCACAUAGAUACUGGGUGAGGAAGGAGCCCUAAAUUGCUUGAAAAAUUGAAUGCUCUUUGGGCAAAGCAGGAAGCCUUGCUAUGGAAGAGCAUCAUUUGAACAUAAAUCAGAGUCUCAGUACAAACAGAGUGCUCAGGACAUCAAGAUGGUUAACCAGAGAGCCUGGCCAGAAUAUCUGCGGUGGAGAGAAACGAUCUUGUUGGGAGAAGGAUGACAAUAAUUGGGGACUUAGAAUAAAGGCUAAAAAUGAUUCAAAGAGAAUGCAAAAAGAAUCAGGCACACAUCCUUUACUCUGUUGUGCAAAUCUCACCUUACUGUGUGUUUGUAUUCUAUUCCUCCACAAUCUUUAUUUUAUUUUAUUUUUAUGUUCACAGAGAUUUGUUGGUGCCAACUAAAUGAGCCCAACAGCCAGUGACAACAGAACUGCACUAAAAAAAGUCCCUCAUCAGCUCUUGAGAGCAGGUUCCUUAAAGGUGAACAAUAUUCCACAUACAAGGACUUUUUCAGCACCAUGCAUUAGAAAUGGAAGUGAAUGUUUAUUAUUUUUUGUAUAAGUUGGUUGAUACGGCUUUUCAGCUUCCCUCAGUAUCAUUAUCCAAAUUUUGUAGAUGACACUAAAGCUCAGAGGAGUUAAACCAUUUUCCUCAAAUCACAUAGUUUUAAAUAGGAAAACCAGAUAUGAAAAGCAGAUUUUUUUCUAAAUUAAAAAAAAAAAAAAAACUUGAGCUCUUGCUUUACCCUAGCACAUAGUCUCACCAUCUGUUUUCUCCAUGCCAGGUCAUUCAUGUAACAUUCAUUCACAUAACAAAUACAAAUAAAUGAGUGGAUUCAUUCAUCAGCUAUUAAUUCAGAAUCUCUUUUGUGUCUACCACACUAGGCUCAAGACUUCCCAGUGUCUUUGUCUCCUCUCCCUCAAAUCUCUCCACCCAAUGUCUUGACAAAUACUGUAGAUCCUUCCUGCACAGCAUCACCAGAAUGUUUUUCUUUCUUUUCAUUCACCUCUGUCAUCAUCCAUGCUAUGGUGUUUAUGGAGGAUGUAUUCUGCAGCAGGAAGUGUGAUGGGCACUGACGCUGCAGAAAGACUCCUGUUGUCCACCUCGGGAGCUGACACGAUAAAUGCGGGUAAAUCUCAAUCCUUUAAUAUCUUUAUGACUUCUUUCUCUUUCUCUUCAAUUUCUAUUUUCUCAUGUUCAAGCUCUGACAUUCAAAACUAAACACCUUUCUCUAACAUGUUGCUUUAAUUAUUUAAGCAUUCUGCCUGGGAUUUUUUCAAUUACUCUUGGGAGUUUUCAUAAAACUCUACCAACAUAUCUCCAAGUGGCCAGGCUUUUCAAUCACUGCUUCCCUCCGUGUGUAUUUCACACACACACACACACACACACACACACACAGCACUUAAAUUGAACAGGUUUAUUUCUUCACACAGGAAUUCCUACGAACAGCCCGGUUUUCUCCACCAUAUGUCCACUCCUUCUCUGCAUAGCUGAAUUUUGAUUCUUACACUCUAAUAUUUUACAUAUUCUUACACUCUGAUAUGAUCUUGUCUCUUAUUCUUUAUGGCUCUGCUCUGUAAUUUUGUUGUUGUUGUUCUGAGAUAUAGUUGGACAUGUAACUUGUACAUGACACACCUUAGCAAGGAGGCAACCUAUAUCUCAGAUGCAAGUGAAAGAAGCACUCCCCAGGGGUUUCCUAAGGUAGUGGUCAGCACGCUGGCUUCAUUCCUGAAAGGGCCUAGUUAUGAAAACAACAGGAGCUUUUUGCCUUCCAGAAAUCUGUACCAUCUCAAAAUCCCCAGAGAGUCUCAGCUACAAGGAACAAGUGAUAAUACUAUCUCACUUUUAUAAACACACACACACAACACACACACACAAAAUCAUUUAAUCAUUUUUAAUUAUUUAAUCAUUUUUUAAAAAUCAGUGACACUUUAGAUGGGCAGGUCUAGGCAGGGCCUCCUUUCCUGGAAUGUGCCUUUUUCUGUCCCGGAAUACCCUAAACUUGACAUUUUGGCAGUGUGAGUUUUCCCUUUUUGACUUUCUCCUUGUUCCCUUUCCUCUUCCUUCUUUGCAGAGAAUGAGUAGCCACUGCACCUUGCCCUGGGCCAUCAGUGAGAAGAUCUGCUCUUAGUAGAGCCCUGCUUUCCCGCUGAAGGCCCUGAAAUCCCCUGUGUUCCAGGCCACCCACUAAGGAUCAAUAAAGCUCCCCUGAUGUGGGGGAAUUAGCUCAAGUGGUAGAGCGCUUGCUUAGCAUGCAAGAGGUAGUGGGAUCGAUGCCCACAUUCUCCAAACUUUAUUAUUUAGACCCUGGGUCUCCAAACACUCAGGUCUCCAAACCCAAGUCAGAGAACAGGAUGCUGCUUUGGUUCAAGAUGUAGGAGCAGCAACAAUACAGGGCUGGUGACGGCUCCCUCCUGGCAUUCAGUAUAGUGUAGAUCUACCGUGUAAUUAAUUUUCUGCUUCUUUGAGGAGCUGUGAAACCAAGGGACAUAAACAAUUGCUCUUUUCUCCCUGUUUCUGCCUGUAGCUUGAAUGUGAGGCAACUGUGAAAAGUGCAGGGCAGAGCCACCUGGGUAAAUACAGCCCUGGCUUUCUGGUGAGAGGACUGAAACCAGGAUGUGUCAAGUAACUAGAAUGUGCCUGGACAGAUACUGUAGAAAGCAAACCCAUAAAGUUGUUCAUGAGCUUGUGGACGCACCUGCCAGCUGUGAAUAAGUGGGUCUAAUCCCAAACAACUUACCUAAAAAGAGCCUGAGGACUGAACUAAACAAUGGUCCACUUUCCAGUCCUCACUGACCACUGGUUGCACACACUCCAGAGAUCUCUCAUCCGCAGUGUCAAGGCUUUCAAAUAGAGUUAUCUGUGAAACAACAACACAUGGAAGUCUGGUUGGUACUUGGAGCUUAAAUACAAGGCAAUUGUGUGCCUGCAAAAACAAAAAGAGCAAUAUUAUCCUUAAGAUUUCAACAAGACACAGUGUCUCAUCACAUAAUCCAAAGAAGUCCAGGUUACAAGCCCCAAAAUAUUCAGCAUUAUGAAAAACCAGGGAGAUCUUAAUUCACAUGGCAAAGAGAAUCCUUGCAUAACAAUAUUGAGAGGACACAUAUGUCAAAAUCAUCUGACACAUACAUUAAAGCAGUUAUUAUAACAAUGCUCCUAGAAUUACGGGAUAGCAUUCAUGAAGUGAAUGGAAAGUUGGAAAGUCUCACCAAAUAUUUGGAAUAUGUAAACACCAAUUUAAACUUAAGAAUUAAAAAAAGUAUUAACCAAAACUAUUAGGGGAAAUAAAAAGCUUAAUUGGAUGAUCUCAAUAGCAGUAUGCAGAAGACUAAGGAAAAAGUCAAUGAACUUGAAAACGGAACAAGAAUACCUACAGAAUCUGACCUAUAGAAAGAAAGGAGGAUUUUAUUGUCCCUGAACAGAGGCUCAGGGACAAAUAAAAAAUAACAAAUCUAACAUUCACAUUAUUGUAAUCUGGAAACAUUCACAUUAUUGUAAGAGGACAAAGAGGUCUUUGUGGGAUAAAACUGUGAAGAAUUAAUGGCUGAAAAUGUAUCAAAUUUCUCAAAAGAUAUAAACCAGAUUUUUAAAGUUCAGUAAAUGUCAAGCAGGAUAAACCAAAAGAAACCCAUUGCAAGACAUAUCAUAAUCAAACUGCGGAAAAUUAAGAAAACACAAAACAAUUUUGAAAGCAGCCAAAGGGAAAUGAAAGAUAAAAUACCAAAUGAAUGAUUGUAGAUUUCUCAUCGGGAACCCAGGAGCCAGAAAAAAAUGUCAUAACAUUCAGUAAAUACCAAAGGAAAAAUACAUUAUCAACCCAGAAUGGUAUGUGGAGCAAAAGUAUCUUCCAGACAUAAAGGCAAAUAAAUGCAUUCUCAUUGGAAGGUAAAUAAAUACAUUCUCAGUCCUAGCAAAACUGCUGGAAAAGAAUUAGCAAAGGUUUGAGAUAAGAAAAGUGAUACCAGAAGGAAACUUAGAACAUCAUCAAUGAAGGAACAAAAGCAGAAAUAGAAAAUGUCUGGGUAGACAUAACAGACUAUUAUUCUUCUCUUGAGUUCCUUAAGGUAUGUUUGAUGGUUGAAAGCAAAAAUUGUAACUUUAUCUGAUGCAGUUGUCAUUGUAUCUAGAUGUACUACAUACAUAAGAUAAAAGGGUAAAUGUAAUGGGACUAACUCUUGAUGAAGUUUCUAUAUUCAACUUGAAUGGUAAAAUAUUGAUUCUUAGUAUACUGUGAAAAGUUAUAUAUGUAUAUGGUAAUCCCUAGACCACUUAACAACCAGAUUGAAAUAAACCAAAACAAGAUAGACAGAGGAACAUAGAAGAAUUAAAACAAAGGGAAAAAAGGUUAAUAAAUUAUUAAAUAGUAGAUCUAUCUAAAAACUUAUCUAUAAUAACAUUAUAUGUAAAUUAUCUAAAUGCAUUAAGUAAAAACUAGAGAUCAUCAGAAUGUGUUAAAAAUAAAUAUGCUGACUAAAGAAAGCCACCUGCAAUACACUUAUAAAUAAGAAUAAAAGUUAUAGAGCAGAUUGAAAGAAAAGAGUGGGAAAAGAUACCUCAUGCAAGCAUUAAUCAAAGACAGCUGUGGUGUAUAUAUAUAAAAUCAGACAAAGUAGAUUUGAAAGCAGAGAAACUUUUCAGGAAUAAUGAGGCCUCCUAAAUAAUUAUGAUUGUCAAUUUUUCAGGAGAAUAUUGUCCCAAAUGUAUAUGAGGACACAGAGCUUCAAAACUCAUAAACAAAAUUGGAUACGCCAAGUAAAAAUAGAAAAAUCCAGUUAUAGUUGCAGUCAUUAACACUCCUCUCUGAGUAAUUGGAAGAUUUAGUGGAACACAAAUCAACAGACAUACUGGAGAAUUGAACCAUGCCAUCCAGUAAUGGACCUAUCAAUUUCAUAAUGCAAAAUAAAAAUUCAGGUAGAAAGCAAAGACAAAAAUUAAAAGAAAAGCAAGAUCAUGUUAUAAUGAGAAAAUUAAGAGUAGUCCAGUGUAUAGAAGGGUGCUAUUAUUGAAAGAGUUUGAAAUAGUGACUUAGUUAUUUUGAAACAUUUUUGAAGACGUUAUUUAGCUGGAAAUGACAGAAAGACUGAAAAUGGUGAAUGUGGAGGUGGAUCUUCCCUUGUCCAUAUUUAUCUUGUCUUCGUUUGAGGUCUGGGGUGUCUAUACUUCCUCUGAAUUACCUGAUCUUACUACAGUGUCUGGCACAGAGCAUCUCCCCAGUGAAUAUGUACUAAAUGAGUAGAAAGUAAUUGAUAGAUUCAAAAGAGUUGUGCAAGAAUAAUGUUCAUUAUUUGACUAAUCACUGAAUGUGGUGUUUCAAGGAAGACAAUGAAUCAAAGUUGACUUGAAAGGUAAGCCCAGGGCCAGACGUGGUGGCUCAUUUCUGUAAUCCCAGCACUUUGGGAGGCCGAGAUCAGUGGAUCCCUUGACACCAGGAGUUUGAGACCAGCCUAGGCAACACAGUGAAAACCUGUCUCUACAACAAAUACAAAAAUUAGCCGGGUGUGGUGGUAUGCAUCUGUAGUUCCAGCUACUCAGGAGGCUGAGGUGGGAGGAUCGCUUGAACUCAGGAGGUGGAGGUUGCAGUGAACAGAGAACGCACCGGUACCUGGACAACAAAGUGAGACCCUGUCAUAAAAUAAAAUAGUUAAACCCAGGCCAGGAGGGGUGGCUCAUGCCUGUAAUCCCAGCACUUUGGAAGGCCAAGGUAGGCUGAUCACGUGACGUCAGGAGGUUGAGACCAGCCUGGCCAACAUGGUGAAACCCCGUCUCUACUAAAAAUACAAAAAUUAACCAAGCGUGGUGGCAGGCACCUGUAGUCCCAGCUACUCUGGAGGCUGAGACAGGAGAAUUACUAGAACCCGGGAGGCAGAGGUUGCAGUGAGCCAAGAUCUUACCAUUGCACUGCAGCCUGGGCGACAGAGUGACACUCUGUCGAAAAAAAAAAAAAAAAAAAAGUUAAGCCCAAAAAGUAAGUAAGGAAGAGGUUUGGAAUUAGAUAUUUGUUGUAUGAAUGAGUGAGCUAAAGUGCAAAAGAACGGGCAGAAUAACUGAGCUGGUACAGAGGGAAAAAAUCACAUUUAAAAUCUAAAAAUAUCUGCUUCUUAGUUCAGGCUUUCCCACUUAGCAGCUUUGGCACCUUAGGAACACUUAACUUAUCUGAGCCUCUAUUACUUCUAAAAAGUGCAUAAAGUGCAGACUAAGACAGUUUUUUUGGCAAAAUUCAGUCAGACUACAUCAAGUAAACUCCCUAAGUCUCCUAGUAUAAUUCAUGGCACAAAAAAUUGGGGAAAAAACAGGGAGGAUAUGAUUAUAAGUUCAGUUUAUGUUUUUUGUUGAGUGAAUGUCUCCAGUCAUAGAGAUGCAAGUGUAGAUACACAGUAAGAGUAGUAUGAAUGGGAGACACCUUGGAAGGCUAUUUCUUCCUUCCUUCAUUCAGUUGGUCACUCAGUGAACUAUCAUGAAUUGAGCACCGCCUCUGUUUCUUAUCAACAAAGGAGACUGCGGAAAAGAAGAGUGACUAAGAUCUCUGAAGAAGGGAAAAGCUAGAUGACUGGGCCACAAGAGGAAAAAAAGCAGCAAGACAGUUACAAUUGUUUCUGGUCCCACUUUUAUAAACACACACACACACACACACACACACACACACACACACAAAAUCAUUUAAUCAUUUUUAAGUAUUUAAUCAUUUUUUAAAAAUCUGUGAUGCUUUACCUGGGCAUGUCUAGGCAGGUCCUCCUUUGCUAGGACGUGCCCUUUUCUGUCCCGGAAUACUCUAAACUUGGCAUUUUGGCAGCGUGAAGUUUUCCCGUUGUGACUUUCUCCUUGUUCCCUUUUCUCCUCCUUCUUUGCAGACAAUGAGUAGCCACUGCUGUUUGCCCUGGCCCAUCAAUGAGAAGAUCUGCUCUUAGAGCCCUGCUUUCCUGCUGAAGGCCCUGAAAUCACCUGUGUUCCAGGCCACCUGCUAACAAUAAAUAAUGCUGCCCUGAUGUGGGGAAUUAGCUCAAGUGGUAGAGCGCUUGCUUAGCACGCAAGAGGUAGUGGGAUCGAUGCCCACAUUCUCCAAGCUUUAUUAUUUAGACAUCGUGUCUCCAAACACUCAGGUCUCCAAACCCAAGUUAGUGUCUGAGAACAGGAUGCUGCUUUGGUUCAAGACGUAGGAGCAGCAAUAAUAGAGGGCUGGUGAUGGCUCCCUCUUGGCAUUCAGUAUAGUGUAGAUCUACCAUGUAAUUAAUUCUCUGUUUCUUUGAGGAGCUGUGAAACCAAGGGACAUAUACAACUGCUCUUUUCUCCCUGUUUCUACCUGCAGCUUUGUCCUAAAUGUGAGACAAUUAUGAAAAGUGCAGCGCAGAGCCACUUGGGUAAAUACAGCCCCGGCUUUCUGCUCAGGGGACAGAGUUUGAGGCACUGCAGAGGAACCGGCCAAAGUAUGAGACCCAUAUAUUGAGAGUAACAGAGUGUAAAGUUCAAAAAAAUCAAAAUAUUUAAAGAUUUAUCAUGGGUCUUGAUGACAUGAUGGAAUCUCUCUACUCUCUGGACUUAUUAUGUGUGGUAAUAAAUUUACUUUUUAAAAGCCAGUUGAGUGUUUUUAAUGUUGUGGAGCUAUUGCUAAGAGUUUCCUGAGUUUUUUCCAGUAAUGUAGAGAUCUUUGUGCUAAAUAUUUCAUAAAGAAGUUUGGUGGGUUAUGUGUUCUAAAUCCUAAUCACUGGCAUUAACUCAAACCAGCCAUAUAAAAGGUAUGAAAAAUGUCUGUCUGGCGUGCACUUGGUUCACUGAGCUUUUGCUUUCCUGUCAGCAAAUUAGACAUUCUCCUCACUUAGGAGGCCAACUUCUCAGCCACUGGCUCCAGCCUAGCCCUAUGGUCUGUCAGUGGCUUUAGAUUUAAUUGACACAUGCCCAGCCCCAACUCUCUCCUGCCUUAAGGAUAUAAGAGCCAUUGUGAGCCGCAAAGUUAUUAUAUCCGAGAACCCAGAAA
rnacentral:lncRNA from 1 species